UCCUGGUGGCUCAGAUGGUAAAGAAUCUGCCUGCAAUUCAGGAGACCCAGGUUCAAUCCCUGGGUCAGGAA
rnacentral:tRNA from 1 species